GACAAGCAACUACGCCAACCUUUCAAAUAGCCAUAUAUUCAAAUUUAUGGUUUUAAUAGCCACCGUGUCCAUUCUGCCCAAACCCAAACUAACAUCUAAUACCCUAAGUUACUAUUAAGCCCUGAAGCCAUCUUCUUCUGCGAGAAAUAAAAAUUUGUUCCAGAUUCCAUCUUCUUCUCCGAGAAAUACAAUCUUUUCCAGCACCACCGUGUCAAAUCUCUCCGAUCAAUUCAACUAAAAAAUGAGACGAUUGACCCCGACAUAGACCAAUUUUAACUCAAAUACAUCAUUUGUUUUACUAAUUGAAAAACUCCAAGUUGCUGAGAAACAGCCAUCUUCGUUGUUUUCUCUCUAGUGUUCUUGCUUGAAGAAAACAAGUAUCAUCUCUCACUUCUCAAGAACAAACCCAUAAAAGUGAUCUAUGGGUUGACUUGUUUGAUUUUUUUUUUUAAUUCUUCUCUUUGUUAUGAUGCUAAUUGGGUAAAGUUAGGGUUUUUCCUAGGUCUACAUCAGAUCCAUAAUGUUUCUGCUACUGGAAUUGAUAACAAAUAAUAAAUUGGAGGAGGGUGGUGGUGGUAACCGUGGGGGAUGAAAUUAAAAGAGGUGGUCGUGAUUAGGGAGCAAGUAAGCAAGUAAUCAGAUGCAAAAAAUGAUAGCAUGGCCGAAAAAAUAUUUGGAGAGAUAAAGGAGGGUGAUUCGGUUAUCGUAGAUGUGAUGGUGAUGGAAAUGUGACAUUGCUUAAUGGUAGUAACAGUGAGAUUCCCGACGCACUUACCCCAUCAAUUCCUGUGUAAAUCAAAUCCCCUCUCGGAUAGAGCUUUUGCGCACAUGGUGUCUAGACUUAUUUAGCUAAAUUUCAAGCAGGUAUAGUAGCAGUGUAUUUACAUUAAAAAGGCUACACAUAUACAACAACUUAAUUUAGUGGAGGAACCUGUGAUACUUUUUGAUGAACCUUGUGCUAUAGUUAAUCCAACAACCAUAGCUAAUAAUAACGCAUUAUCCACAAAAAGUACAAGAUGCACUUGAGUGCAUAAUACAUAUUCUGACAACAAAAUAAAUUUUGGUCAAUUUGCACCCAAGGACAUAACGAAUAUAUUUUUGAAUUUUUGUUAUUUCAUUUUCUUUCUUUGAUACUUGUUUUUA